AUUGAACGCUGGCGGCAUGCUUUACACAUGCAAGUCGAACGGCAGCGCGGUCUUCGGCCUGGCUGCGAGUGGCGCACGGGUGUGUAAUACAUCGGAACGUGCCCAGUAGUGGGGGGUGGCUCGUCGAAGGCCGGAUUAAUACCGCAUACGACCUGAGGGUGAAACAGGGGGGGCUUCGGACCUCGCGCGCUUGUGGGGGCGGAUGGCCGGUUAGCUAGUUGGUGGGGUAAAGGCCUACCAAGGCGGCGAUCGGUAGCUGGUCUGAGAGGGCGAGCGGCCACCCUGGGACGGAGCCACGGCCCAGACUCCUACGGGAGGCAGCAGUGGGGAAUGUGGGACAAUGGUCGAAAGCCUGGUCCAGCAAUGCCGCGUGUGUGAUGAAGGCCUUCGGGUCGUAAAGCCCUUUUGGCGGGAACGAAAAGGACUGUGCCAAUACCACGCUUCGAUGACGGUACCCGCAGAAUAAGCACCGGCUAACUACGUG
rnacentral:rRNA from 1 species